AGCGAACGCUGGCGGCAGGCCUAACACAUGCAAGUCGAACGAACCUUUCGGGGUUAGUGGCGGACGGGUGAGUAACACGUGGGAACGUGCCUUUAGGUUCGGAAUAACUCAGGGAAACUUGUGCUAAUACCGAAUGUGCCCUUCGGGGGAAAGAUUUAUCGCCUUUAGAGCGGCCCGCGUCUGAUUAGCUAGUUGGUUGAGGUAAUGGCUCACCAAGGCGACGAUCAGUAGAUGGUCUGAGAGGAUGGUCAGCCACAUUGGGACUGAGACACGGCCCAAACUCCUACGGGAGGCAGCAGUGGGGAAUCUUGCGAAAUGGGCGAAAGCCUGACGCAGCCAUGCCGCGUGAAUGAUGAAGGUCUUAGGAUUGUAAAAUUCUUUCACCGGGGACGAUAAUGACGGUACCCGGAGAAGAAGCCCCGGCUAACUUCGUG
rnacentral:rRNA from 1 species